rnacentral:rRNA from 1 species
CCUACGGGUGGCAGCAGUGGGGAAUCUUGGUCAAUGGGCGCAAGCCUGAACCAGCGACGCCGCGUGAGUGAUGAAGGCCUUCGGGUUGUAAAGCUCUGUGGGGAGGGACGAAAGAGCACGUUCGAAUAGGGCGUGUGUUGACGGUACCUCCUUAGCAAGCACCGGCUAACUCUGUGCCAGCAGCCGCGGUAAGACAGAGGGUGCAAACGUUGCUCGGAAUCACUGGGCGUAAAGGGCGUGUAGGCGGGAAGGAAAGUCAGAUGUGAAAUCCCUGGGCUCAACCCAGGAACAGCAUUUGAAACUCCCUUUCUUGAGUACCGGAGAGGAAGGUGGAAUUCCUGGUGUAGAGGUGAAAUUCGUAGAUAUCAGGAGGAACACCGGUGGCGAAGGCGGCCUUCUGGACGGUAACUGACGCUGAGACGCGAAAGCGUGGGGAGCAA